rnacentral:rRNA from 1 species
UACGUAGGGAGCAAGCGUUGUCCGGAAUCAUUGGGCGUAAAGCGCGUGUAGGCGGCUUGAUAAGUCUGCUCUGAAAGCCCGGGGCUCAACCCUGGGAGGCGGGUGGAUACUGUCGAGCUCGAGUCCGGAAGAGGCGAGUGGAAUUCCUGGUGUAGCGGUGAAAUGCGCAGAUAUCAGGAGGAACACCAAUGGCGAAGGCAGCUCGCUGGGACGGUACUGACGCUGAGACGCGAAAGCGUGGGGAGCAAACAGGAU